rnacentral:rRNA from 1 species
CGUAGGGACCAAGCGUUGUCCGGAAUCAUUGGGCGUAAAGAGCGUGUAGGCGGCCUGUUAAGUCUUGCGUGAAAUCUCGAGGCUCAACCUCGAGACGCCGGUGGAAACUGCAAAGCUAGAGUCCGGAAGAGGAGAGUGGAAUUCCUGGUGUAGCGGUGAAAUGCGCAGAUAUCAGGAAGAACACCCGUGGCGAAGGCGGCUCUCUGGGACGGUACUGACGCUGAGACGCGAAAAGCGUGGGGAGCGAACAGG